rnacentral:rRNA from 1 species
AGAUAGAAGUUACUUCGGUACGAUCGGUGACAGUGGUGCAUGGUUGUCGUCAGCUCGUGCCGUGAGGUGUUAGGUUAAGUCCUGCAACGAGCGCAACCCUCGUCGCUAGUAAUUUUCUAGCGAUACUGCCCGUAUAACGCGGAGGAAGUGGGGAUGACGUCAAGUCAGCAUGGCCCUUACGUCCUGGGCUACACACACGCUACAAUGGGUGAUACAAAAGGUUGCAAUAGGGUGAUCUGGAGCUAAUCCUGAAAAUCAUCCUCAGUUCGGAUUGUAGGCUGAAACCGCCUGCAUGAAGUUGGAGUUGCUAGUAACCGCAGGUCAGCACACUGCGGUGAAUACGUUCUCGGGCCUU